UACGGAGGGUGCAAGCGUUAUCCGGAUUUACUGGGUUUAAAGGGUGCGUAGGUGGGCAGUUAAGUCAGCGGUGAAAUCUCUGGGCUUAACCCAGAAACUGCCAUUGAUACUAUCUGUCUUGAAUAUCCUGGAGGUGAGCGGAAUAUGUCAUGUAGCGGUGAAAUGCUUAGAUAUGACAUAGAACACCAAUUGCGAAGGCAGCUCACUACGGGGUUAUUGACACUGAGGCACGAAAGCGGGGGGAUCAAACAGG
rnacentral:rRNA from 1 species